GAUGAACGCUGGCGGCGUGCCUAAUACAUGCAAGUAGAACGCUGAAGGAAGGAGCUUGCUCUUUCCGGAUGAGUUGCGAACGGGUGAGUAACGCGUAGGUAACCUGCCUGGUAGCGGGGGAUAACUAUUGGAAACGAUAGCUAAUACCGCAUAACAGUAGAUGUUGCAUGAUAUCUACUUAAAAGGUGCAAUUGCACCACUACCAGAUGGACCUGCGUUGUAUUAGCUAGUUGGUGAGGUAACGGCUCACCAAGGUGACGAUACAUAGCCGACCUGAGAAGGUGAUCGGCCACACUGGGACUGAGACACGGCCCAGACUCCUACGGGAGGCAGCAGUAGGGAAUCUUCGGCAAUGGACGGAAGUCUGACCGAGCAACGCCGCGUGAGUGAAGAAGGUUUUCGGAUCGGAAAGCUCUGUUGUAAGAGAAGAACGAGUGUGAGAGUGGAAAGUUCACACUGUGACGGUAUCUUACCAGAAAGGGACGGCUAACUACGUG
rnacentral:rRNA from 1 species